GGUAGCAUAAUCACUUGUCCCUUAAAUAGAGACUUGUAUGAACGGUCAAAUGAGGGCUUAUCUGUCUCCUGCAGCCAAUCAAUGAAAUUGACCUCACAGUACAAAUGCUGUGAUACAUAUAUAAGACGAGAAGACCCUGUGGAGCUUUUAAAUCUACCGCAUUAACUAGAACAUAACUAACCUAGUAUAAUGCAAAUUUUAAGUUGGGGCGACUAUGGAGUAAAAAUUAACCUCCAUGUAAUACGACUAAACCUCGUCAUGCUAGACCAACACGCCUAGCCAAAAUACAUGACCCAGUCAAACUGACCAUCGAACCAAGUUACCCCAGGGAUAACAGCGCCAUCCCCUUAAAGAGUCCACAUCGCCAAGGGGGUUUACGACCUCGAUGUUGGAUCAGGACACCCAAGUGGUGCAGCAGCUACUAAAGGUUCGUUUGUUCAACGAGUAACGUCCUACGUGAUCU
rnacentral:rRNA from 1 species